GUCGUGGUCACAGUCCAUCUCGACAAUCCAGCGCGUGGGGUCGUCGUCGUCUUCGACGACACCGGUGGCGCCCUCGCCGCCCGAGCCCUCGGCGGCGCCCGACACGUCCGACGUCUCGGCAAUGACCGUGGGCACGCACGCCAUGUCCUGGCGCUUGCUCGACGGCCCAUCGUAGCAGCCAAAGACGAUCUCGUCGCGCCGGGCGCUCUUGACCACGCGCAGGCUCAUGGUCUUGGGGAUGGCACCCAGGCACGCCUUCAUGACCUUGGUGAGCACGUGGAAGCGCGUCAUGCGCUCGGUGGAGACGACGGUGCCCGUCGCGUCCCUGACGCAGUUUUCCAGGCCACCAUAGGUGGCGAUGGCGCCGGCGCUCACAUAGGCCGUGUCGCACGAAAACUGGGCGCGCACAUAGCACGUCUGGCUCUUUUCCAUGCCCGAGAUGCGCACGCCGCAAAAGGCCCCGCGGUUGUCGAUGAUGAGCGGCAGCCGGUCGUCGAGCAGCGUCGACACCGACUCGAUCAUCUCGCGAAAGACGGCCGGCUGACCAAUGACCAGGUAAAAGUCGAUGAGGUCGCCGACGCCCGUCUCCAGGUCGGUGGUGCGACUGUUGGUGGCUGACGCUACCAGUUGCAGCAACUGCGCCCGGUAGGUCGGGUCGUCCUCGACGUCGGAGCCGCCCGCGCGGAGCACCGACCCGUCGGGUGCCAGGAUGUCGCCGCGCGCCCGCUUGGACCGCGGCGCCGACGUGAGGCUCCGGCCCGAGUCGGACGCGACGUCGCUCUCAUAGUCGCUGUGGGCGUCGUUGCUCCGGUUGAUGACGCAGUCGAUCACCUGGUCGAUCUCGUCGAUCGGGCGCUUGUUGGGCCGCGCGCGUUCUUGCGUGCCAACGGCUGCCAAGGAAGGCGACGACGGAUUUGUGUCUGUGGUCUCCAUUGUUGUUGAUGUUGUUGCGACGGCGGCGGCGAUGGUGGUUGAGGUGCAGCAGUCUUACUAUGCACUGUAAAUCGGUGCGGAUGAGAUGGGCAACGGGGGAAAGAAAAUCACACACGCACAGUGUGUUUUGUGUGUAGUUUUUUCUUUUUUGCGCG
rnacentral:lncRNA from 1 species